AGAGUUUGAUCAUGGCUCAGGAUGAACGCUAGCGGCAGGCUUAAUACAUGCAAGUCAAGGGGUAGCAAUACAACCGGCGCACGGGUGAGUAACGCGUACACAACAUACCAUAUACUGGAGUAUAGCUUUGGGAAACUGAAGGUAAUCCUCCAUAACAUUGCGAGAGGGCAUCUGAUUGCAAUUAAAGUUUCGGCGGUAUAUGAUUGGUGUGCGUUUGAUUAGCUAGUUGGUAGGGUAACGGCCUACCAAGGCGACGAUCAAUAGCUGGCGUGAGAGCGCGACCAGCCACACUGGAACUGAGACACGGUCCAGACUCCUACGGGAGGCAGCAGUAGGGAAUAUUGGACAAUGGAGGAAACUCUGAUCCAGCCAUGCCGCGUGAUAGAUGAAGGCCCUCUGGGUUGUAAAUAUCUUUUAUCUGGGAAGAAACACUCCUAUUCUUAGGAACUUGACGGUACCAGAGGAAUAAGCACCGGCUAACUCCGUG
rnacentral:rRNA from 1 species